rnacentral:lncRNA from 1 species
CUUAGCGCGACCAGUGAAUAUGCUGCGUGGAAGUGUCAUACCCCCUUGAUUGCUCAAGUUCCAUAAAUUGCCUCCUGCUUUGCUGAGACAAGUCAAGCCCACCAGAAAACUGAUUGUUAACAGGCUCUGUGAUUUGACCCAAGCCCAGGUGAGGGGGCAAUUCGUGAGAGCUGCUACCAGAGUCAUUGCCCUUGAAACCCCAAGAGGCAUUCGAAUAAGGAUUCACAGUUGCACCAUUAGGCGUUGUUGGUUGAGCCACUGAAGACCCUUCGGUAUUCAUCAUGUCGUUUACCCCUAGACUUGAAGCCCGAUUUCUAGAGCCCCAUGGUUGAUUUGACAGAAGAGAGAGAGCACAGCUUGAGUCAGCAACUCCCGUGAAGCAUUCUCCC